AUGCAUUGCUGUUUUAAACAGAAGGGAGAAGAUGCAAGAAAGGGUUUGACAAUAUCGGGAACUGGUGUUUUUCUUUUCAUCCGAAUGGUGCAUCUUUUGUAAAAUCUAGUGAGAUAUGUGGCGAGAUCGGAGGCGAAAUGGUGGUAUUAGAUUCACCAGAGAAGGAAGCCAUGCUGACAGACUAUAUAGAAGCUAAAGGCUUCACAUACAAGACGACAGUUCCUAAUCGAGAGGAUUUGUUAAAAUCUCACCAUAGAUUAAAAGUUGCUGAUAAACACGCUGAAAGAUAUUGUGACUUCUAUAAAAAGUUUAGAUGGAUUAAAUCUACAAAAGAAUUGUAUAUUCCCAAUGCUGAGAUCCCAGUGGAUUUCGAUGAGCUACAGAGGGCCAAUUUGACUACGCCCCCUGGUUUCUCGGUCAAGCUCUCAUCUAUUCCGGGAGCAGGCCUUGGGGCGUGGACUUCGACACACCUUCCCAUCAACAAUGUGUUAGGGGUGUAUGAUGGGGAGGAGUUCAUAGACGACGGGGAAUAUAUGUAUGGAUGGAUGCUAGACAACGUUGAUGGUGAAUUGGCAACCCAUUUUGUGGACGCAGGUUCUCCCGCCAAAGGCAACUGGUUAAGAUACGUCAACUGCGCCAGAAAUGAGCAGGAAGAAAAUAUCAAUGUCGUCUUUUGUGAAGAUUUAGUCUUUUACAUUACAUCAAAAGACAUUGCGCCAAAUACUGAGUUGCUUAUGUGGUACGGUACUUGGUAUGGAAAUCUUCUUGGAAUCAAAAGGGUGCACCCAGGUUAUUCAUUUUGAAGAAUUGGUAAAAUGGUGUAUAAGUCUUAAUGUUUAGUGAAAUUUUGCCGAAUGUGCACUUAAUUGAUAAGAUCAAUCGUUUCUUUGAUUAAUAAACAGAUGACGAUUUGGACCUUGAUGACGUAAUCUACAUCCGGGUCAGCAGCUUGAGAAAAACAAGAGACGGAGACUACUGUUUCCAUGACAACACUACUGUGACGUACACAAACUGGAUUCCUAAAAGGUUCAAUAAAACUCGAGAGCGAGAGUACUGGCAACAUGUUUACGAUCCCUUUGGCUUGUUACUGGCAUAUUACGACGGAAAAUGGAAGUGGGUGUUCGAAAAGGAUUACUCUUACUUCACUGGUGAUACUGGUCUACUACUCCCAUUUGUUUGUGAAGAUAGGUCACAUAUUAAUUGAUUUUAACAACCUAUGAAGUAGCUAAAAUUAUAAUUGUGAAUAGCAUCUACAUGUUACCAUUCUGUUCUGUAUAGAUGACAUGCAGAAUUUAAAAAUUCAGUAAAUAUCGUUGUUAGUACUUGUAUCACAUUUCUGUAUAGAAUUAAAGUUAACGUGGAAAUUAUAGAAACGAAGAAUAACAAUUCAGUACCUGAAUAAAUAUUGAUACACACAUUGCUGAUGUUAGUAUUUUGACUCAACAUCCAUGGAAUUGCAGAUCUUUGAAGAUAUGAUUAACAAGGAAUGCGU
rnacentral:misc_RNA from 1 species